rnacentral:tRNA from 1 species
GGGGUUCUGGCUCAUCGGUAGAGCGCUCGCUUAGCAUGCGAGAGGUACUGGCUUCGAUUCCCAGGUACUCCA